UGGGAUUAAAGGCUAGCACGUGGCGC
rnacentral:piRNA from 1 species